rnacentral:rRNA from 1 species
GACGUAGGGUGCGAGCGUUGUCCGGAUUUACUGGGCGUAAAGAGCGCGUAGGCGGCUUACUAAGUGAGAAGUGAAAUCUCCAGGGCUCAACCCGGAAACUGCUUCUCAUACUGGUGAGCUGGAGGGAUGCAGAGGUAUGUGGAAUUCCUGGUGUACCGGUGAAAUGGGUAGAUAUCAGGAGGAACUCCGAUGGCGAAGGCAGCAUACUGGGCAUUUCCUGACGCUGAGGCGCGAAAGCGUGGGUAGCAAACAGG